CCCAUUACAUCAUAAUAUGCUGAGUAGGAGGUGUUAUAAAGGGCAAGUGGGGCAAAAAGAUAUUGAGACAGACAGCCCAGGGGCUCUGCCACUCUAUCAUGGUCCUGUGGUCAUCUCUAUUCUUGACAGUCUCCCUGGAGAGUAGAAGACUGGGAAUGCUUUUCUGAGAGGCCAGAGAAGCCAGGACUUGCCUAAGAACAUCCUGAGAACCAGUUGACAGAAAAGUGGUCACAAAAUACAAGCCAAAGACUGCUGAAUCUACUCCCUUAGAAGGAAAUGAUCCCUGCUGGACCCACCAGAACUAUAGCUUUCCAUUCUGAGGAAUCUUGGAGAGAAGAAUAAAGGGGAGUGUCAAAAGGGCCUUGAGAAACAUCUGCCUGAAUAAGGAGGAGAACUGAGGAAGCCAAAAGGGAAUGGAGUUGAGCACAUUCAUUCUUUUGGGAAAAUUCCAAAGAAGAGGGCUGCUGAUGGAUGUCUGAGAGGGGAGAGGGGUCCAGAAAUUUACCCAAAGGCCAUUCUGAGGAUCGGUUGGCAGAAAAGUGGUCACAACACACAAGCCACAGACUGCUGGAUCCAGUCCCAAAAGAAAGAAAAGAUCCCUGCCCAUCCCUCUGGAACAACAGCUUUCCAUUCUGAGGAAUCUUGGAGAGAAGACUAAAGGGGAGUGUCAAAAGGGCCUGAAUUCCUUCUUCCUGAAUUAGGAGGAGAGAUUAAGAGGCCCAAGGCAAAGGAGUUCAGCAUGUUGAUUCCUUUGGGAAAAUUCCAAAGAGGAGGGCUGCUAAUGGAUGUCUGAGAGGGGAGAGGGGUCCAGAAAUUUGCCCAAAGGCCAUUCUGAGGAUCGGUUGGCAGAAAAGUGGUCACAACACACAAGCCACAGACUGCUGCAUCUAGUCCCAAAAGAAAGAAAGGAUCCCUGUUCAUCCCUCCGGAACAACAGCUUUCCAUUCUGAGGAAUCUUGGAGAGAAGACUAAACGAGAGUGACAAAAAGGCCUUGAGAAAAAUCUGCCUGAAUUACAAGGAGAGAUUAAGAGGCCAAAGGCAAAGGAGUUGUACUGGUUGAUUCCUUUGGAAAUAUACCAAGGAAAAGAUCAGUAGAAGGCUAAGAUAUAUCAUCCCCUGAGAAGGAUCCCUAUUUAUUUGGUUAUUUAGACGUGGACGAGCACUCAGCCAUUCUCUCUUCCCCCAUAUAUUCAGAGCUGCUAAUGAAUGUGUAAGAGGGGAGAGAGGUCCAGAAAUUUACCCAAAGGCCACUCUGAGGAUCAGUUGGCAGAAAAGUGGUCACGAAACACAAGCCACAGACUGCUGAAUCCAGUUCCAAAAGAAAGAAAAGAUCCCUGCUCAUCCCUCCAGAACAACAGCUUUCCAUUCUGAGAAGGGGCUAAAUGAAGUGAAUAAGAAGGGAGGAGUUUGAUCAAUUUUACACAGCCAUGAACGUAAGGGAGAAAAGCAGGUUCUGCAUCUAGGAUCCUCUUGUCUGCCAAGCUAGCUGGCUUACAUCUUGGCAGCUACCUCUUCUGGGAGCCAAGUUUUAUGCACUCAGGUUGCCUCAUGAACAAAUUCCCUAUAGAGCCAGGACUUCUGUGAGUCUUCAGUCAUGGAGGAGAAGAGAUCAAGUAAGGGGUUUGGAUCAGUCUCUGGAGAAGUGACCUUCCCUGAAUUUCUUUCAUUUAGUAGAACUGAAACUAGCACAUUCCACUCAUACUUUCUGGAAGAUCCUUGAACAUUUCCCUGGGAUUUAGAGAUAAAUAUUAGGCAAGGCUCCUCUUGCUGAUCUCAGAGAAUUCCUCCGCUGCAGUCUCAACUUGUUGAAGGAGUACUUGGACAUUAGGAAUGGCAUAGAGAUGGGCAAAGAUGGAUAUCAUAGAGGGAAUGGGGAACAAGAAAGACUUCAUAGACUUGGGUUCAGUACCAUUUUGGCUUUCAAUAAUCACAUGUAUAGUGAAGAACAUGAACUGAAUGAACUGAAUGAAGGAACCAUGAAGACUAAAAUGGAGUGCCAAAAAGCCAUUGAGAAAUACCUGCCUUGGUUAGGAGGAGAACUGAGGAAUCCAAAGGGGAAAACACUUGAGAAUUUUGAUUAAUAUGU